rnacentral:misc_RNA from 1 species
UUUCCGUAGGUGAACCUGCGGAAGGAUCAUUCAUAAUAAGUGUUUUAUGGCACUUUUUAAAUCCAUAUCCACCUUGUGUGCAUGUCAGUCGGUCUUCUUUAUGGAGAUCGGCCAAACAUCAACCUAAUUUUUUAACUCUUUGUCUGAAAAAUAUUAUGAAUAAAAUAAUUCAAAAUACAACUUUCAACAACGGAUCUCUUGGCUCUC